rnacentral:lncRNA from 1 species
CCAUGAUCAACCUCUCUGUGAUUCUGUGAGAAAAAAACUCAAAAGGGGACAAUUACAGAGGAGGGAUAACUAAUCAAGCUCAUCAGUGUUAUGUGGUUCAUCUGUGAUAGAGUGAAGAUGAGAACCCAGACUACAGAGAUUUGGUAUCCCACCAGCAGGAUUUGUACCAGAAUCUGGAGUUGUGGAGUACCUGAAUUUCAUUUCUUCAGGCUUCAUGAACAAAUGACAGAGCCAAGACUACUAUUUUACCAUCUUCAUCAACUUUUCUCAAUGACAGACCUCCCACCUAUAAUAAUGACCUUAAUAUCAAGAGCAGAAUGAUCCCAUUGGGAACAGCAUGUGGGUAGUAUAGCCAAGACAGCGCUCAGAGACGUUAAACAAUAUGGCUUCUGUCCAGACUCUGUUGAAGAAAUGGCAGCACUCCCAUUGAUUUCGGCAGGAUCAGGAUUUCACGGCUGUUGUGUGAAAGAGUUUUCCCAACACUCGGUAUCUGCAGAUUUAAUUUAUGAUACAACUUUAAAAACUGCAUCAAAAAUAUUAGGAUCCUAUGACUGUUGGCUCAGAAAAGGUGUUUAAAAAUAGCUUUAAACUUAAUUGAAGACAAGAUGAGUCUCCCUUGUCUCUUCAUUCAGGGUCAAAAGGCAUGAAUUUCAUUCACUAAAUUAUCAACACUUAAAACUUUUUCUGCAUGAUUAGACUAUUACUAAGAGUCAGGACAGCAGAGAUCCUCCCACUGCAUUGACCUGUGAACUUUGUUAAAUCUUCUGACAGGGGUCAUUGUCUAUAGCAUGAUAGUGAAUGACUUUUCAAAAGGGAGCCAUUCUUUCAGUUGUAACAUGAAGCUGGUGCUGUUUUCUAAUGGGUUGAAAAUGUUAAUUUACUUUGAUGACAUUUCUUGUCAAUUUAUGUGUCAUCUGAAUUUGCUGAUUAGUCACAAAAGAUGAUGUAUUGCUUAUGGACAGUUAUUAUUUUACCUUUAGAAAACAAAACAAAACAAACAAACAAACAAACAAAAAACCUUCAGGUACUUCAAAUACUUCCAUGAUUAGAAAUCACUUCUUCCCUUCCAUGUUUCCUUCCUUUCUUCUGUGACAUACAUUUCAAAUUACCUGUAAGUAUUUUGCAAUUCUGAUGGAAUAGAAUGUGUUGGCAAACAUAUAUGAAAUUGAACCUCUUUCAGAAUACAAGCUUCUUCUGUAAAAUAUGUAUCAAGUUACUGUCCUUCAAAUUAACCUUCCUGAAAAUACUUCUUUUCAGUGACACAUGCAG